UUAUGUUUGUUCCUGUGAUGGUAGGGCAAAGUUCCACAUUGCCUUGAAAACCAUUGACUGGUCAACAAGUCAACUUUCUUUAGUGUGCGAGCGUGCCACUGCUAGCAAUGAGAAAUUCUAGCAGACUUAUUAAAAAUAGAUUACUUGCGGCCCAAGUUACUAAUUUCUAAACAAGCAAUUGUGAAUUUGGGUGAGGAAUAUCUCCCAAGUAAGUUCUUU
rnacentral:lncRNA from 1 species